rnacentral:lncRNA from 1 species
CUUCUUUUGCUCACUGAUAUCUGGAACUUGAUACAUCAUCUGUUGCUGUUAUCCCAGUAGAAGUUUAGUGAAUAGAAGGAAGAAUCUUCCUUGAAGUGAUCCCGUUACAGGAACUACACGUGUUGGAUAAUUGGCAUUGGGCAGCUUCAUCGAUAUCAGUAAAUGCAAUUGGGCCAAUUAUUGCCUGUACUAAUGCCUGCGUUACCAAUGGAAUUUUGAGGCUUUCGUGUUUGAUGAAUAUCGAGGAUCCAUUUUCCGGAACAUCUUGGAAUCAGUCAUGUGGACUGAUUAAUCAGACCUACCGCGUCAAACCUGCUACCAGUGGUAGGGCGAGGGGCGCUGGUGACUUGAUCUACAAUUACAUCGACCAAUAUCAGUUUGAGCGACAAGUAAUUUGUACAGUUCCGGAUGUAACGAUCACUCAAUGAAGAUCGCCAAGAAGAAAGUUUAGGAUACAGUUCUUCGACUGUAAGGAUUCGGUGGAUUUGAGAGACGAAGUUUUGAAUUAAAAAACCGCCAAGAUGUGGUAAAUCAGAUGCGUGAUAAAAAGGAUAUUAUGUCGAACAACACUGCGCGGUAUGGCCUAUUCCAUAUGUAGGUCAAUACGGCUUAUUGUCAUCCCGGAACGCUCAUCAGUUAUGACCUUCAGAUAUAGUCCAUUCUACCUUCUCAGUGCCGUACAAAGUAUUCCUCUUCCCACUCAUCCGGCGAGACUUCACAGAACUAGUUGCUUAUACCUUGUGCAAAAUCACAUCAGUGAACGAGAUUAUCGUCAUCAUUUUGCAACCUACCUUCGAAUCUCGAGAAGCAUCAAACAGUCGCGACCUUAGGUACAUGGCCUGGUACAAUUUAUAAUUUGUCGCAUAUUCCUUGCUAAUUAGCUGAGUCUGAUUAUAUGUAAUUUUAUUAUUGUAAAUUUACUAAGCGAGUGGGUCAUUAAUCUGCCCUCCAUCUGUCAUGAAUUGCCCAUUUGUGAGCGACUAAGGUCGUAGCUUUGUGAAACGAUCGUUAAGGCUUCAAAAUUCGUAGUUGUAUCUUAUAAAAUCGACAUAUUAUUACACCAACUAUUUUUAUUUGUAGUUUAUUUUCUUGUAUCGUUCUAUAUCAAAGAGAAAAAAAAAUAUUACAACACACUAUUGCGUAAAGACAAUCUAGAUUAUAUACAAUAAUACGGCUAUAAUAUAAAAAUGAAAGAAUUAUUCAUUUCAAAUGGGACUCUAUUCGACA